rnacentral:rRNA from 1 species
GACGAACGCUGGCGGCGUGCUUAACACAUGCAAGUCGAACGCUGAAGCUCAGCUUUUGUUGGGUGGAUGAGUGGCGAACGGGUGAGUAACACGUGAGUAACCUGCCCCCUUCUUUGGGAUAACGCCCGGAAACGGGUGCUAAUACUGGAUAUUCACUGGUCUUCGCAUGGGGGUUGGUGGAAAGGGUUUUUCUGGUGGGGGAUGGGCUCGCGGCCUAUCAGCUUGGUGGUGGGGUGAUGGCCUACCAAGGCUUUGACGGGUAGGCGGCCUGGGAGGGUGAACGGGCACAUUGGGACGGAGAGACGGCCCAGACUGCGACGGGAGGCAGCAGUGGGGAAUAUUGCACAAUGGGCGCAAGCCUGAUGCAGCGACGCCGCGUGAGGGAUGGAGGCCUUCGGGUUGUGAACCUCUUUCGCUCAUGGUCAAGCCGAAACAAUGGUUGUGGUGAGGGUAGUGGGUAAAGAAGCGCCGGCUAACUACGUG